rnacentral:rRNA from 1 species
GACGAACGCUGGCGGCGUGCCUAAUACAUGCAAGUAGAACGCUGAAGGAGGAGCUUGCUUCUCUGGAUGAGUUGCGAACGGGUGAGUAACGCGUAGGUAACCUGCCUGGUAGCGGGGGAUAACUAUUGGAAACGAUAGCUAAUACCGCAUAAUAGUAGAUGUUGCAUGACAUUUGCUUAAAAGGUGCAAUUGCAUCACUACCAGAUGGACCUGCGUUGUAUUAGCUAGUUGGUGGGGUAACGGCUCACCAAGGCGACGAUACAUAGCCGACCUGAGAGGGUGAUCGGCCACACUGGGACUGAGACACGGCCCAGACUCCUACGGGAGGCAGCAGUAGGGAAUCUUCGGCAAUGGACGGAAGUCUGACCGAGCAACGCCGCGUGAGGGAAGAAGGGUUUCGGAUCGUAAAGCUCUGUUGUAAGAGAAGAACGAGUGUGAGAGUGGAAAGUUCACACUGUGACGGUAUCUUACCAGAAAGGGACGGCUAACUACGUG